GAAAUGCGAUAAUUAAUGUGAAUUGCAGAAUUCAGUGAAUCAUCGAGUCUUUGAACGCACAUUGCGCCCCCUGGUAUUCCGGGGGGCAUGCCUGUCCGAGCGUCAUUGCUGCCCUCAAGCACGGCUUGUGUGUUGGGCUUCCGUCCCUGGCAACGGGGACGGGCCCAAAAGGCAGUGGCGGCACCAUGUCUGGUCCUCGAGCGUAUGGGGCUUUGUCACCCGCUCCCGUAGGUCCAGCUGGCAGCUAGCCUCGCAACCAAUCUUCUUAACCAGGUUGACCUCGGAUCAGGUAGGGAUACCCGCUGAACUUAAGC
rnacentral:misc_RNA from 1 species